UACGUAGGGGGCAAGCGUUAUCCGGAUUUACUGGGUGUAAAGGGAGCGUAGACGGCAGCGCAAGUCUGGAGUGAAAUGCCGGGGCCCAACCCCGGAACUGCUUUGGAAACUGUGCAGCUCGAGUGCAGGAGAGGUAAGCGGAAUUCCUAGUGUAGCGGUGAAAUGCGUAGAUAUUAGGAGGAACACCAGUGGCGAAGGCGGCUUACUGGACUGUAACUGACGUUGAGGCUCGAAAGCGUGGGGAUCGAACAGG
rnacentral:rRNA from 1 species